AAAAUACAUCUCCUAAAGCCAUAUCUGAAAUAAGCAUCUAAGAUUACAAACUGCUUUUGAAAACCUGGAAAAGAUUCAGAAAAGAGCGACUAGAAUUAGGGGUCUGGAUAAUGUGCCUUACAAUAAAAGACUUAUGAAGCUCCAUCUAUUUAGCUUCUCAAAGAGAAAGUUAUGAGGUGACUCAAUCACCAUCUAGAAGUACCUAUAGGGGGAAAAGUUUCUGAUAAAAGAGGACUCUACUCUAGUAAAGGUAUAACAAGAACCAAUGAUGGGAAACUGAAACUAGAUAAAUUAGAGAGACAAAAGUGCAAAUUUCUAAAUUAAGGUAUUUAAUCACUGGAACAACUUAUCAAGGGACGUAGUAGCGUUCCAUAACUUGAAAUCUUUAAAUCUAUAUUGGAUGUCUUUCUAAUUAUAUACUAGCUCUACCACAAGCUAUGGGCUUGAUGCAGGAAUUAAUGGAUGAAAUUCUGUAUCCAGUGUUACACAGGUCAAACUAGAUGUCCAUAAAGGUUUCUUCUUCUGGCCUUAUAUCUAUGAACAUUUAUGAUCUUACUGUUCAGAGCUUCAUUAAAUAUUAGCAUGGUGCAGAAUUUACAAUCAGAUUAUAAAACUGGUCAUUAAAUUCCCAAUGCUUUGUUUUUCUGUUCUAAAUAUUACCAUUUAACCUAAGAGCCCAGCUGUCUGAAUAAUCUUAUGUAUGUAACCAUGUCCAACCACGCUGCCCAAUUAUCCUCAUUCUCAUUUGCUGUGUCACGUUUAUAAUCUAGUUUGUAAAUUCUUCAGGGCGGGCACUUUAUCUAACAGUCUGUUCUGUGAGACACCAUGCACACCUCUGGUCUUGGUACAAAUACAAAAGAAAAACUAGAAAAGAGGUUUUUAAAAUUGCAUUAAAGCAUGGGUUUGAUUGUGGUCACUUGCUAAAGGCAUAAAGCCACUUCUGGUUUCAAGGUCAGGCAUCCCUCCGGGAUGGCAGAUAUGGCUUACUCACUAAUCAAUGACAAAAGUACCACUGCAAAAGCCAGCUACUGUCAAAAUCUGGCUUGGAGUUCAUUUGGGUGCCUAUUUCAGACUUGUGCUCUAAAAGACAACAAGGUUUAGGACAUGAAUACUACCCCUCAUGCUCAUCUUUUCAAGUUGCACCCAAAUUGCUGGGAUGAUAAAAAGACUGUGAAAUUCUCUCUGAAUUCCCAGACUAGAGCCCUGCAUGGGACUAUUAUUUUUAAUCCCACUCCCACCCCAUCCCGCAAUAUCCACUCCCACCCACUCCUGCAUUGUUUCUUGCAUUUUUAUCCUGCUCCCACCCGCAAAUCCUGCCAGAGAGACCAAUUCCCCUAUGCUACUAAAACAAACACAUGGUCGGUUAUAUAUAGUAUUUUUUUACAUGGUUUAAGAAAGAUUUGUUUAAACUCCUGUUAUAAUAGACAUCAAAUCUCUUUCUAUCCCUCACGUAAAUUUAGGUAUUAAAACCUUUAUUUUUUAAAAAAAGAAAAGCUUGCUUUACAUUGCUGAAAUUCUAUUUAUGACAAACUGCUGUUGUGCUUAUCAUACGGAACAUCAAAGCAAAUUGCACCACAGUUUUACCUUAAAAGGUGUAGAUUUUUUUAAAUUAUUAUAAAAAGUAAGUUAAAAAAACACUGGAAUUUUUUUAAACUGCUUACGUACCAUUUUUAGAACUUUGAAACAUACUAUUCCAAUUAUUUAUAUGUCAGGAUUGCUUUUUGAAAAACACUUAAUGGAAAAACUGCUCACAGCACUUGGUUUUUGAUGGAAAUAAAUGUUAAGAAGAGGCUCAAACUAAGUGAUCGAUAAUAAGGUCAACUUAAACAGCAGGUGUAGCUAAACUUGCAUUUUGUUUUCCCACAAAUUUCCACAAUCUGUUUUUUUUUUGCCCACCCAUCCUGCCUGCAACAAAAUACAUUUACCCGCCCCUGAUAUUAUGGCAGUGGAUCCUGUAGAACUCUAUCUCAGACUAUCUUUUGCACAAGUUUUUUUUUCCUUCUGCUGCAUUGCGUAUAGUAGUAUUACUAUAAAUUAUUUCAAUUGC